UAGAUGAAUGCUCGCUGGAUGGGGCACUUAGCUGUUAACUAAGAGUUUGUAGGAUCGAGGCCUUCUCAUCUAG
rnacentral:tRNA from 2 species